GUCGAGAAUCUUUCACAAUGGGGGCAACCCUGAUGGAGCGUCGCCGCGUGGAGGAUAAGGUCUUCGGAUUGUAAACUCCUGUCAUGCGUGAACAAGGUUGCUUGGAUAAUACCUGAGCAAAUUGAUGGUAGCGCAAGAGGAAGAGACGGCUAACUCUGUGCCAGCAGCCGCGGUAAUACAGAGGUCUCAAGCGUUGUUCGGAAUCACUGGGCGUAAAGGGUGCGUAGGUGGCGUGGCAAGUCAGAUGUGAAAGCCCGGGGCUCAACCUCGGAACUGCAUCCGAUACUGCCAUGCUAGAGUACUGGAGGGGUGACUAGAAUUCUCGGUGUAGCAGUGAAAUGCGUAGAUAUCGAGAGGAAUACCAAAGGCGUAGGCAGGUCACUGGACAGUUACUGACACUGAGGCACGAAGGCCAGGGGAGCGAACGGGAUUAGAUACCCCGGUAGUCC
rnacentral:rRNA from 1 species